UACGUAGGGGCAAGCGUUGUCCGGAAUUACUGGGCGUAAAGCGCACGCAGGCGGAAUUGUAAGUCCGUUGUAAAAUUCCGAGGCUCAACCUCUGUCUGUCGGCGGAUACUGCAAAUCUAGAGUAUGUGAGAGGGAAGUGGAAUUCCUGGUGUAGCGGUGAAAUGCGUAGAUAUCAGGAGGAACUCCGGUGGCGAAGGCGACUUCCUGGCACAAGACUGACGCUCAUGUGCGAAAGCUAGGGUAGCGAACGGGAUUAGAUACCCCCGUAGU
rnacentral:rRNA from 1 species